UACGUAUGGGGCGAGCGUUAUUCGGAUUUAUUGGGCGUAAAGCGUAUGUCGGGGGCUUGUUAAGUCGAGGGUGAAAUUUUCUUGCUCAACAUGAAAAUUGCUUUCGAAACUGGCAAGCUGGAGUUUUGGAGAGGAGAUUGGAAUUCCAGGUGUAGGGGUGAAAUCUGUAGAUAUCUGGAAGAACACCAGUGGCGAAGGCGAAUCUCUGGCCAAAAACUGACCCUUAGAUACGAAAGCCAGGGGAGCAAACGGG
rnacentral:rRNA from 1 species